CCCCGCGCCAGACGGACCGGGCGCCCUCUGCUCCCCACCACCAAGGCUGGGCUCCCCGCCCCGGGCCCACAGUUGGGGGCCGGGGUAGUUGAAUGAUGGAGUGACACGCCCCGGGACUGGGCGUGUGUGGGAGCAGGCGGGAGAGUGCGGCGACCCCCAAAACGUGAAUAGUAUUGCGCCCCUGCUCGCUACUCUGCAGUGAACGGAGAACAUAAUGCUCAGGCUCGUGCGGCCCGUGGACCGGUUCCUGCUUCCCGGGCCGCUCCGCCCACUCGUCCGUCCCACACUCCACUCUCCGUCGCACUCGCACUCGCCCUUCCCCUCCAUCCGCCUGGUACCCCCCCCACUCUGCCGUUGCACCCUCUAAUUCGCCUGUCUCGCUUCUCAACUCGCUGAGCGCUACGAGCCAGCCGCGCCCUCCUGGAAAGCGUCCCCCCACGCUUUCCCUGGCCGUCCUGUACUUUACCCGUCAGAUCUGACCUUGAAAAGAAGUUUCUCCUGACACCCCUAGUUUAAAUCCAGCUUCCCCAAAUUGAACUACGUGCUUUGUAAGCACCAUGCAUUAUGUCCUUCAGGGUAGCCACCACAGUUUAACUAUAUGGGUAUUUGGUUGUCUCAAGUUGCAAGAGGGCAGGGACCCUGUCCGUUUUGUAAUCAAAACUCCAGGAACCUACGACAGUGCCAGGCACGUGAGACAGAUGGGACUGUGUUCAGAAUUCUCACAAGAGCCGAAGGAUUUAUGGAUGCGGAUAUACCCUUACAGUUGGUGUUCCAUUUACCGGUCAAUUACCCGUCCUGUCUGCCUGGUAUUGUGGUUAACUCCGAACACCUGACCAGGGCUGAGUGUGAGAUUGUGAAGGAGAAGUUACUGGAGCAAGCAGAGACCCUUUUGUCGGAACCUAUGGUUCAUGAGCUAGUUCUCUGGAUUCAACAGAAUCUCAGGCACAUCCUCAAGCGACCAGAAGCUGGAGGUGGCAGUGAAAAGUGCACUUCUGCAGCAAGCACGACUGUGGAUGAUGGAUUGUGGAUGACUCUUUUGCAUUUAGAUCACAUGAGAGCAAAGACUAAAUAUGUCAGAACUGUGGAGAAGUGGGCUUCCGAUUUAAGGCUGACAGGAAGACUGAUGUUCAUGGGUAAAAUAAUACUGAUUUUACUGCAGGGAGACAGAAACAACAUCAAGGAGUACCUGAUUCUUCAGAAAACCUGCAAAGUAGAUGUGGACUCAAGUGGAAAGAAAUGCAAAGAGAAAAUGAUUAGUGUACUGUUUGAAACAAAAGUACAGACAGAACACAAAAGGUUUCUGGCAUUUGAAGUCAAAGAGUAUUCAUCGUUGGAUGAGUUACAAAAGGAAUUUGAAACUGCAGGACUUAAGAAGCUUUUCUCCGAAUUUGUACUUAGGCUGGUAAAAUGAAGCGGAAGACAGCUUUCCUUGAAGCUCGGUAUGACCAUAAGACUAAAUUCUGGGUAAAUGGAGGUACCGUAUGUGGUUUCUAGAAGGGCUUCCUGAAGGCGUUGACUCACUGGGAGCUGCUGCCUUUUCCUCCCUUCUACCGCCUGGAACGUGGACAGGAGGGCUGAAACUCCAAUGGCAAUCUUGGGUUAUGAGAGAAAGUGGGACACUCUAAUUGUUUUGGGCUGAGGAAAGGAUACAAGAAAAUGCCAGGGGAGAAGACAUUCAAAAGAACACUGACUGAGCAAGUCAAUGGGAUACAAACCCAGACCUGGCUGACCCUGGAGCCCUGAGCUUUCUUCCCAAUCCUCCUCAUAGAGAAACACAGCUAAUAGUUUGAAUUUUUCUUACCAACUUCUUUUCUUUUUUUAAACGACUAAACCAACAUUAUAGUAUAUGUGAAUAUUUAUAUAUAUAUAUAUUUUUUAAUUGAAGUAUAGUGAAUGUACAAUAUUAUAUAAGUUACAGGUGUACAAUAUAGCGAUUCACAAUUUUUAAAGGUUUUACUUCAUUUUUAGGUAUUAUAAAAUAUUGGCUAUAUUCCCUGUGUUGUACAAUAUAUCCAUGUAGCUUAUUUUAUACGUAACAGUUUGUACCUCUUAAUCCCCUACCCCUAUCUUGCUCCCCCUCACCCCCCACUGGUAACCACUAGUUUUGUUCUCUAUAUCUGUGAGUCUGUUUCUUUUUUUGUUAUAUUCACUAGUUUGUUGUAUUUUUUAGAUUCCACAUAUAAGUGAUACUGUACAGUGUUUGCCUUUCUCUGUCUGACUUAUUUCACUUAGCAUAAUACCCUCCAAGUCCAUCCAUGUUGUUGCAAAUGGCAAAAUUUCAUUCUUUGUAAUGGCUGAGUAAUAUUCUAUCGUAUAUAUAUACCACAUCUUCGUUAUCCAUUCGUCUGUUGGAUAAACACUUAGAUUGCUUCCCUAU